rnacentral:lncRNA from 1 species
GUUGCUACCGGAAUGCCUCUUCAGGUUAGCGAUUACAGCUGGCAGCAGACGAAGACUGCGGUCUUUCUGUCUCUGCCCCUCAAAGGCGUGUGCGUCAGAGACACGGACGUGUUCUGCACGGAAAACUAUCUGAAGGUCAACUUUCCUCCAUUUUUAUUUGAGGCAUUUCUUUAUGCUCCCAUAGACGAUGAGAGCAGCAAAGCAAAGAUUGGGAAUGACACCAUUGUCUUCACCUUGUAUAAAAAAGAAGCGGCCAUGUGGGAGACCCUUUCUGUGACGGGUGUUGACAAAGAGAUGAUGCAAAGAAUUAGAGAAAAAUCUAUUUUACAAGCACAAGAGAGAGCAAAAGAAGCUACAGAAGCAAAAGCUGCAGCAAAGCGGGAAGAUCAAAAAUACGCACUAAGUGUCAUGAUGAAGAUUGAAGAAGAAGAGAGGAAAAAAAUAGAAGAUAUGAAAGAAAAUGAACGGAUAAAAGCCACUAAAGCAUUGGAAGCCUGGAAAGAAUAUCAAAGAAAAGCUGAGGAGCAAAAAAAAAUUCAGAGAGAAGAGAAAUUAUGUCAAAAAGAAAAGCAAAUUAAAGAAGAAAGAAAAAAAAUAAAAUAUAAGAGUCUUACUAGAAAUUUGGCAUCUAGAAAUCUUGCUCCAAAAGGGAGAAAUUCAGAAAAUAUAUUUACUGAGAAGUUAAAGGAAGACAGUAUUCCUGCUCCUCGCUCUGUUGGCAGUAUUAAAAUCAACUUUACCCCUCGAGUAUUCCCAACAGCUCUUCGUGAAUCACAAGUAGCAGAAGAGGAGGAGUGGCUACACAAACAAGCUGAGGCACGAAGAGCAAUGAAUACUGACAUAGCUGAACUUUGCGAUUUAAAAGAAGAAGAAAAGAACCCAGAAUGGUUGAAGGAUAAAGGAAAACCUGAAAGAUGUCUGAAAAUUCCAGUGACAGUGAUUCAUCUUGUGGUUGGACUGUCAUCAGUCAUGAGGGGUCAGAUAUAGAAAUGUUGAAUUCUGUGACCCCCACUGACAGCUGUGAGCCCGCCCCAGAAUGUUCAUCUUUAGAGCAAGAGGAGCUUCAAGCAUUGCAGAUAGAGCAAGGAGAAAGCAGCCAAAAUGGCACAGUGCUUAUGGAAGAAACUGCUUAUCCAGCUUUGGAGGAAACCAGCUCAACAAUUGAGGCAGAGGAACAAAAGAUACCCGAAGACAGUAUCUAUAUUGGAACUGCCAGUGAUGAUUCUGAUAUUGUUACCCUUGAGCCACCUAAGUUAGAAGAAAUUGGAAAUCAAGAAGUUGUCAUUGUUGAAG